AACAUCGACAUUUCGAACGCACAUUGCGGUCCUCGGAUACUGUUCCCGGACCACUCCUGGCUGAGGGUCGUAU
rnacentral:rRNA from 1 species